UACGUAGGGUGCAAGCGUUAAUCGGAAUUACUGGGCGUAAAGCGUGCGCAGGCGGUUUUGUAAGUCUGUCGUGAAAGCCCCGGGCUCAACCUGGGAAUUGCGAUGGGAGACUGCAAGGCUUGAAUCUGGCAGAGGGGGGGUAGAAUUCCACGUGUAGCAGUGAAAUGCGUAGAGAUGUGGAGGAACACCGAUGGCGAAGGCAGCCCCCUGGGUCAAGAUUGACGCUCAUGCACGAAAGCGUGGGGAGCAAACAGG
rnacentral:rRNA from 1 species